rnacentral:lncRNA from 1 species
UUGACAGUUUGGCUUCCCUGUUCUGGGUGGCAAAGCCUGUGGAGUACUCACCUACCUGCUGCAUGAAGGCAGCAUGGAGGGACUGUGGUGGAUUAUCUGCAAAGAUGGCCAAAAUUCUCUCAUCCCUGCAGGCACAUACAAGAUGCCAGAAUCAGUCAAAACUAAGCUCACUGUCCUUGCUAAUAUUCUGCCCCAGAGAAGAACUGAAGCUCAGCUAUUCACCCUACAGAAAGCCUGAAUUUUGUAAAAGUUCUGCUUAGAAUGAGGAAGAAAGAUGAAGAAUGAGGAGGAAGAAGGGAGGAACAAGAGAGAGAGCCAGGUUUCCAGAAGUUCCCCAGUCAUUGAGCAUUUCUGAGGCUCUUGAUGCAUAUGCCAAGUAGUUAUGGAGAAAGACACAGCAGCUUACCUCUGCAGGCAUCAUUGUGUGAAAGGAAGACCCAGGCUCUCUCACCACCCUUCAACAGAAGCCUUUUGCUAAGGUGAUAGCUACAUGUCCAAGCCUAUUGCGUGGCAUGCAUUUUGCCUUCUGCAGCCCACUAAAGGAAAUUGAGGUAUACGGAAUGCUUAUUUGGUUUACUCAGUAUCAUCCUAAAUGUAUGUACCAAUGCUUAGGAGUUU